rnacentral:lncRNA from 1 species
GUUCUCUUUGUGCAGUGAACUCGUGGGUGGCGAAGAUGGUGGCUUUGGGAUCCGCCUGGCGGAAAAGGAAGGCUACCGCCUGCGCCAUCUUUGCACAGCUGCCGGCGUACAGGCCCCUGAUUUCUCGAAGGAGGGUCCGCAGCGCCUCGAGGGGAAUUAAGACGUUCACAGACCGGUGUGUUAUUUUUGAAUAAAGCUUGAGAGCUUUGGAAGCCCAGCCGGGGCAGUGCCCCUUCACAGAGAUUCAGGGAUAGCCUGGUGGCUGAAGGCCUAAAGUUUGGAGUUCUCCUCUUGGAGAAGUGCUGUUGGGAUGGCUGGGAUGCCCACGUAAUGGUUCCUGCCACUUCAUCAACAAGCUGUGACAAGAAGUGGAGAGUGACAAGAAGUGGAGAGUGGCGUGCCUUCUGCCUGGGUACUGUGGCAUGGAAAUCACUUUCCAGUCCUCGCAUUCCUGAGCCCUACAGCCUCUCUUCACGGGGGUGACAGUGAUUUGAUAAGACCUCUACCCCAAAGCACACUGAAUCUUCUUCACCCCCAGGAGCACUUUCAGAAGUAAACAGUCCUCCCAACCCACUAGGCAGAUCUCAUAGCUCUCCAAAAUUAAUCUACGCAGAGACUGGCCUGCCAUCUCAGCUACUGAAGCCCGUGAGCCUCCCAGGCCUGUUUCCCCAGGCCUCUCAUCCCUGGAAUCCUUAGCAACUGGCUAGUGCACAAGCCCCUCCAGAAUGAUACCUCUACCUGCCUGUUGCUUGUGCCCGAACUCUUGGAGUCUGCUUGAGUCCUGUUUGCAUAUUCUAUAUCCAAUUUGUCAGCAAAUCAUGCUGGCGAUACCUUAACACCAAAAUUUGGCCGCAUCUCACAACUCUACUGCUCCUUGACUCUGGUGGGAUCCACCAUCGUCUCACUUAGCUCCCCUGCGUGAUGCAACAGCCUCCAACAAAGCUUCUGGAUGUAAUCUGGUUUGUGAGGAAAUCCUAGAGCCAAGAAAUAAAAACUGUUUUGGACAUUGUUUGCAGGAAUAUAACUUUAUAGAAUCCCUUUGGAAAACAGUUUAGCAGUACCUACUAAAAAUGAGGCAUGCUCUCUUCAACCCAGUGUUUCCACUUCUGGUGAUGCACCCUAAACACUCACAUACAGAUACAAGGAUUAAUAUACACAUCCUUGAUGGUACUGUUGGUAAGGGGGGAGAAAAUAAGGAACUCACGUGUUCUCCAAUAGGGAAAUGGGGGUAUAUUCAUAAAAUACACCAUGUGUUACAUGCAGCAGUAGGAUGACUAACAUACCAGCGUGGAUUAAUCUCACAAUGUGAAGAAUAAAAGCAGAUCACAGAAAAAUAGUAUGUAAUGCUUAAAAACAUUUACCACUAAACAAUAUAUUGCUUAAAGUUCCUACUGUAUAGCACAGUAUAUUCAAUAUCCUGUGAUAAACUGGAUAGAAAAUAAUAUGAAAAGGAAUAUAUAUAUGUAUAACAAUCAUUUUGCUGUAGAGCAGACAUUAACACAACAUUGUAAAUCAACCAUACUUCAAUAAAA